CAGAAUUCAGAAGAGAUGGAGUCGACAGGGGCAGAUAUAAAAAUGGAAAAAUGGAAAGAGCAGGUUAAAGCCUGGGGGUUGCUGUAAAAGAGGAAAAGACAUUAUGGGGAGUCCUGCAGUUCUUGUGAAUAUGCAACUUAUUCUGAGGUCUCACUUCUUCUCUCCAUCUUCCAGCUCCAUGGUAACUGAAUCCUGAAGAAAUGAUGGUGGACAUUGAUGAAUUGAAUUUGGAACACAAAGCACACAGGAACAAAAAUAUCUAAGAAAAUACUGAGAAGGAACAAAGUGAGAGGCUUUAUACAAAUGAGAAGUUUAAAUUGUUAAGACAGACUGCUGUUAGUACAAUAGUAGACAAAUGUGCCAUUGAUGUAAGAAACAGUCUCCAGAAACAAACCCAGUCAUAUACAAACUUUUAACUUAUGGAUAAGUUGUCAGUGACAAGAAAAACAGUAGAAAAGAAGUCUUAAUGGUGAAUGGUGUUGGUUUGUCAGAUAAUCCACAGGGGAAAAAAAAGUAAUACCUUACACCAUUCACCAAAAGGAAGUGUAGAUGGACCUUAAAUCUGUUAUGAGUUGAAUUGUAUCCUCUCAAAAUUGUUAAAGUCCUAACUCCUAGUACCUUAGAAGAAUUUGACCUUGUUUCAAAAUAGAGAUAUUGCAGAUGUAAUUAGUUCAGAUGAGGUCAUACCGGAGUAAGGUGGCCCCUAAUCCAAUACCACUGUUGUCCUUAUAAAAAGAUGAUACUUAGAUAUGAAUCUGCACACAGGAAAAACACCAUGUAAAGAUGAAGACAAAUGUGAGUGAAAUGCUUCUACAUGCUGAGGAAUGUCAAAGAUUGCCAGGAAACCAUCAGAAGCUAUAGAAAAAGGCCUGGAAUGGAUUUUUCCUAACAGACUUAAGAAGGAACUAACCUUGCAGACAUCUUGAUCUCUGACUUUUAGCCUCCAGAAAUGGAAGACAAUAAAUUUCUGUGUUUAAGCCAUCCAGUUUAUGAUACUUUGUUAUGGCAGCCCCAACAAACUAAUAUAAAAUCCAAACAUAAAACAUAAACUAAUAAAGUGUCUGAAAGUACACAGAAGAAAAUUAUGGCUUCUACUUUGGAGAAAGAAUUCUUAAAAAGGACACAGAUAGGGAUGCCUGAGUGGC